rnacentral:rRNA from 1 species
GAUGAACGCUGGCGGCGUGCCUAAUACAUGCAAGUCGAGCGAACAGACGAGGAGCUUGCUUCUCUGAUGUUAGCGGCGGACGGGUGAGUAACACGUGGAUAACCUACCUAUAAGACUGGGAUAACUUCGGGAAACCGGAGCUAAUACCGGAUAAUAUUUUGAACCGCAUGGUUCAAUAGUGAAAGACGGUCUUGCUGUCACUUAUAGAUGGAUCCGCGCUGCAUUAGCUAGUUGGUAAGGUAACGGCUUACCAAGGCAACGAUGCGUAGCCGACCUGAGAGGGUGAUCGGCCACACUGGAACUGAGACACGGUCCAGACUCCUACGGGAGGCAGCAGUAGGGAAUCUUCCGCAAUGGGCGAAAGCCUGACGGAGCAACGCCGCGUGAGUGAUGAAGGUCUUCGGAUCGUAAAACUCUGUUAUUAGGGAAGAACAUAUGUGUAAGUAACUGUGCACAUCUUGACGGUACCUAAUCAGAAAGCCACGGCUAACUACGUG